rnacentral:rRNA from 1 species
UAGUCAUAUGCUUGUCUCAAAGAUUAAGCCAUGCAUGCCUAUGUAUAUGCUCUCGUACAGUGAAACCACGAAUGGCUCAUUAAAUCAGCUAUUGUUUAUUAGAUCAUACCCGUUACAUGGAUAACUGUAGUAAUUCUAGAGCUAAUACAUGCCUCGAAUCCGUGACCCGCGAGGGGAUCGGUGCACUUAUCAGUACAAGACCAACCAGGUGCGCCUUUAACGAGAUGCGCCUGUGAACGUCGUGUUGACUCUGGAUAAUUUCUACAGAUCGCAGUCGGCCUUGGGUCGGCGACAGUUCUUUCAAAUGUCUGCCCUAUCAACUUACGAUGGUAGGCAACCUGCCUACCAUGGUGAUAACGGGUAACGGGGAAUCAGGGUUCGAUUCCGGAGAGGGAGCCUGAGAAACGGCUACCACAUCCAAGGAAGGCAGCAGGCGCGCAAAUUACCCACUCCCGGCACGGGGAGGUAGUGACGAAAAAUAACGAUGCGGGGCUCAUUGAGGAUCCGUAAUCGGAAUGAGUACAGUCUAAAGCCUUUAACGAGGACCAAUUGGAGGGCAAGUCUGGUGCCAGCAGCCGCGGUAACUCCAGCUCCAAUAGCGUAUAUUAAAGUUGCUGCAGUUAAAAAGCUCGUAGUUGGAUCUUGACGGCAGUGCCGCUGGCCUCGAGCGUGUGCGUUCAUCCAUUGGACGGCCUACGGGUCCCACCCGGUGGAUGGGUUGAUGCGCUCUUGGCUAGUUGGUGGUGCAGUCUUUCAGCCGUGUCUGUGGCCCUCGGGCGACAGGUGCCUGUCGUGAGUGGGGUUUUUAACUCCCUGCCCACGGCUGGGUACGCACUGCGAUCCGCUUCGUUGUGUGUCGUGGUGCGGGCGGCAUGUUUACUUUGAACAAAUUUGAGUGCUCAAAGCAGGCCAAUGUGUCUGAAAAGUCUUGCAUGGAAUAAUAGAAUAGGACUUCAGUUCUAUUUUGUUGGUUUUCGGAUCUGAAGUAAUGGUUAAGAGAGACAGACGGGGGCAUUUGUAUGGCGGUGUUAGAGGUGAAAUUCUUGGAUCGCCGCCAGACAGCCUGAAGCGAAAGCAUUUGCCAGGAAUGUUUUCAUUGACAAAGAGCGAAAGUCAGAGGUUCGAAGACGAUCAGAUACCGUCCUAGUUCUGACCAUAAACGAUGCCGACUGACGAUCCGUGGGGUAAAAUUCUUUUGUCCCCACGGGCAGUCUCCGGGAAACCUUUAAGUCUUUGGGUUCCGGGGGAAGUAUGGUUGCAAAGCUGAAACUUAAAGGAAUUGACGGAAGGGCACCACCAGGAGUGGAGCCUGCGGCUUAAUUUGACUCAACACGGGAAAACUCACCCGGCCCGGACACUGUGAGGAUUGACAGAUUGACAGCUCUUUCAUGAUUCGGUGGUUGGUGGUGCAUGGCCGUUCUUAGUUGGUGGAGCGAUUUGUCUGGUUAAUUCCGAUAACGAACGAGACUCUAUUCUGCUAAAUAGUACUUCCGUAACUGGUCUGUCAGUGAGCUCGGGUCCCCGUCUGCACCUCGCGUGUGGUUGGGCGUCUCGUAGUGAACUUUCGACUGCGCGGAUGUGACUUCUUAGAGAGACAAGCUGCGCUAGCAGCACGAAAUUGAGCAAUAACAGGUCUGUGAUGCCCUUAGAUGUCCGGGGCCGCACGCGCGCUACAAUGACGGUACCAGCGAGUAUGACCUCCUGGCCCGAGAGGGCUAGGCAAACUGGUCCAUGACCGUCGUGACAGGGAUCGGGGUUUGUAAUUAUCCCCCGUGAACGAGGAAUUCCCAGUAAGUGCAAGUCAUAAGCUUGUGCUGAUUACGUCCCUGCCCUUUGUACACACCGCCCGUCGCUACUACCGAUUGAGUGGUUUGGCAAGGCCUUCGGAUCGGCACCAUUGUAACCUUCGGGUUCGACAGGUGCUGAAAAGAGGACCAAACUUGAUCCCUUAGAGGAAGUAAAAGUCGUAACAAGGUUUCCGUAGGU